CCAUUGCUGAGGAAUCCCACAAUAGGAUGAAACAACUGUCCAAUGC
rfam:Schistosoma mattheei strain Denwood, Zambia genome assembly, scaffold: SMTD_contig0001230